rnacentral:rRNA from 1 species
AACGAACGCUGGCGGCGUGGAUAAGACAUGCAAGUCGAACGAGACUUUUCGUUGUAGCAAUACGAUGGAAAGUUUAGUGGCGAACGGGUGCUUAACACGUGGGCAACCUGCCAGGAAGUGGGGGAUAGCUCGCCGAAAGGCGAAUUAAUACCGCAUGUGAUUAGAAAGGACAUCCUUUCGAAAUUAAAGUCGGGGCAACCUGACGCUUCUUGUGGGGCCCGCGGCCUAUCAGCUAGUUGGUGAGGUAAUGGCUCACCAAGGCUUUGACGGGUAGCUGGUCUGAGAGGACGACCAGCCACACUGGGACUGAGACACGGCCCAGACGCCUACGGGUGGCAGCAGUCGAGAAUUUUUGACAAUGGGGGAAACCCUGAUCGAGCGACGCCGCGUGGAGGAUGAAGGUCUUCGGAUUGUAAACUCCUGUCAUUGGGGAACAAGGUGCAUACGUUAACUGCGUGUGCAUUGAUAGUACCCGAAGAGGAAGAGACGGCUAACUCUGUGCCAGCCGCCGCUGUAACAC